UCAAAACUUUGUGAAGGUAUUAUUCUCUUCUGAACUUUGACUUGUCGUUUUGAAUCGAUCUGUACGAUGAAACCCAGUUUCUAAUUUAGCAAAAUCGUGCAACAAAAGUCUUUGAUUAGCAUAAAAAUCGAAACUUUACAACUGUUUCAGUAUGAAUUCGUCGCUGAGCCUGUGGUUAACGAGAGUACUGGUGCUUACACAGCUCAUCCACGGAGCUUUGAGCUGGGGGAAAGAAGGCCACUACACCGUCUGCAAAAUAGCCGAGAGCUAUUUUGAGGAAGAAACUGUAGCCGCAGUGAAGAAACUUCUACCUGAAUCUGCUCAAGGAGACUUAGCAUCUGUUUGCUCGUGGCCUGAUGAGAUUAAACACCAUUGGCAGUGGCGUUGGACCAGCCCUUUGCACUAUGUUGACACUCCUGAUUACAGAUGCAACUACCAAUACUGUCGGGAUUGUCAUGAUACUCAUAAGCAUCAAGACCGGUGUGUGACUGGAGCUAUUUUCAAUUACACGAUGCAACUUAUGUCGGGUUCUGAAAACUCGCGGAGGAUAGUACACUACAACUUGACAGAGGCUCUCAUGUUCUUAUCACAUUAUAUCGGAGAUGUUCACCAGCCUUUGCAUGUUGGUUUCCUGGGAGAUGAAGGUGGAAACACUAUAACAGUCCGCUGGUACCGUCGCAAAACAAAUUUGCACCAUGUGUGGGAUAACAUGAUAAUUGAGUCAGCUCUUAAAACAUACUACAAUAAAAGUCUUCCACUCAUGAUUCAAGCACUUCAAGCCAAUCUUACUCAUGGCUGGUCAAAUGAUGUUCCAUCGUGGGAAUCAUGUCAACUUAACCAAACGGCCUGUCCAAAUUCGGUUGUGGAUGUUGUUCAGGUAUGCAUCUGAAAGCAUAAGUCUGGCCUGCAAGUAUGCUUACAGGAACGCUACCCCAGGGACUACUUUAGGAGAUGAGUAUUUUCUCUCUCGGUUACCCAUUGUGGAGAAGAGACUUGCACAAGGUGGGAUUCGCUUGGCGGCCACUCUGAACCGUAUCUUUUCUUCACAACCUAAGCUUGCUGAAGCAUGAAAGUAAAACUAAGAAGAAGAUACCACAGGAACCAUAGGCAGUCACUCUAUUAGCUCCUCAGCUCAUCUGAUGUUAAUUAAUUUUAUGCGUUUGCUAUUGUUUUUAGUUUAAUUUGAAUAAGCAGUAGGCGAAAUUGUCAUCUAUUAUCAGACAUCUAGCUAUCUAGGACAACACCAUGUCCAAGGUGUAUCAACUGAUGCUUGCGUUAAACUGAAAACAAAGGAUAAUAGGAUUGUUAUCACAAGCUGGGUUGUACUUAACGUGUGAAUGAUAUCUCUAUGUUCGUGCUGA